CCUGUUUUGAAAAGCUAUAAAAUGAGCACUGAAACGGGCACGUUAUUUGAUUCACCUCCUGAUCAAAGAUGGAUCUGCAGAUCUCAGUUUUUCUUCUGCUCUUGCUUUUCACUGCAGGACAAUCUCUCAACUGUUAUAAGUGCACGGAUCUGAUAGUUUCUUGUGCAGAUCAAAAGGAACAAACAUGUCCCAGUGGAUCUUACAAGUGCAUGACUCUGACAACAGUGUCACAACUUGGUGCCAGUAAGUUGACCAUCAAAACUAAAGAUUGUGCACCUGAAACUGAGUGUAAACCUGGGACCCAUCAGACACUAGCUGGGACGGUAUCUGUCCAGUGCUGUGACACUGACCUUUGCAAUGCAGCAGAUGGCAUGUAUAAGGGAAGCUUCCUCCUGCUGUCGUCUCCUCUGUUCUUCUACAUCCUGUUUCAGUGAUUCCAGCUGCACUUCAGAUUCUACCGCUGCAGCAAAAACUGAAUGUCACACACAUUUCUAUUCAUACUUUACUGAACAAAACGUGUGCAUGUUGUUCUGCUGUUUUAUUUAGUAUCAUGAUUUGAGGAAAAUAAACUCUGUAUUUUAUUAAACAAUUAUUAAACAAAAUCCUGCAUCAACAAUUUAAUAAACAAAUAAUUAUAAAAAAAAACACUUUAUAUAAUGAGUUUGCAACAUCUGCAGUCAUUUUGUACAAUAAUAUUACCUGCAAUCGAGACGAUGUCUUUCCUUUAUAUUUCCUUUUCCCCUUCCUUUUCAUUUUUAAAAAUGUAUUCUCUCUCUCUUCAUAAUACAAAGUUAUAAUAGAAUGCAAUGAAGAAAAAACAUUAUAGAGUGUACUAAACUGCUGUAAUAAAAUCAUUACAUAUUAAACGUAUUUCUCAGUU
ensembl:lncRNA lymphocyte antigen 6B-like